rnacentral:misc_RNA from 1 species
ACUAAUUACUAGUCAUACUUCGUUGAAAAGAUCACAUUGGACGAAAAUUGUGAAAUGUGAACGAUAUUGAAAUAUAACUCAUCAGCAACUUUGGCAAAUGUUGUCUUAGGACGCAUACAGCUUAGCCAAUUACGUAUACACUAUUUUCAUACACAGCUUUUCAUAAUAUAAUUAUCUAAAGACUAAGAUGAACGUAACCUCAGACAUCGUGCCUGAAGUUCAGCCGGGUGUGUUUACCCAUAACUCAUAUACAAUUUUGAGCAAUUUUGAGUCUGCUAAUCUUGCUCGGGUGAAAUAUGUCUGCAAACAAAUUCCAGGCGUUGAUGAAGAUUUGGAAUUUCAUUUAUGGACAAACCCAGACUGUGGUGGCACAGAGUUUGAAUGCAACUACAAGUCAUGGUUCUACUUUGCCUUAAAAGGAGGCAUUCCUGGUAUGCAUGUAAGAUUAAACAUAGUGAGUUCAAAUAAUCAAAGUAAAAUGUAUAGUCAAGGCAUGACUCCUGUAUUUAAAGUUGAUUUAGGAAAAUCAGAUAAUUUAAAUGAAAAGUUUUGUAAAGCAUCCUGGUCAAGAAUAAAAGAAAUACCAACUUAUCAGAUAAACAAUAAUCAAGAAUUUGUGUUGAGUUUUAGUCACCGUUCUUUGAAAAAUAUUGAAGCUACAACAUAUUAUGCUUUUACUUAUCCUUAUACUUACACUGAGUUAUGUAACAGCUUAAGUUUUUAUGAAAAACAAUUUCCAUUACCAUCAGAUUUAAGAGAAAACAAUGAGAAGGAUGUUUAUUUUUAUCGAGAAACUAUAGUAAAAUCCUUAGAAAAUCGUUCUGUGGAUUUAUUAACUAUUAGUUCCUUUAAAGGUAUUUCAGAAGAAAGGGAAUGCCGUUUAUUUGGAUUAUUUCCAGAUGAAAAACCUAGGCCACAUGUUUUCAAAAAUAAAAAGGUCGUUGUAAUGAGUGCUAGAGUGCAUCCAGGUGAAACACCUUCUAGUUUUGUGAUGAAUGGUUUGAUAAAAUAUUUAAUUAGUAAGGAUGAACAAGCUGAUAUACUACGUCAAAAUUAUGUUUUCAAACUAAUUCCUAUGCUAAAUCCAGAUGGAGUAGCUAAAGGAUUUUAUCGCACAGAUACUAGAGGUUGUAACCUCAACCGGUUUUAUCUGAAACCAUCUUUGAAACUUCAUCCAUCUAUUUAUGCUGCCAGAUCAUUGAUCUUGUAUCAUCACCUUGGAUAUGAAUUACGAGAUGAGUUAAUCGAAGAAAAUUCAACAUCAAUUUUUUGUAGUUCAUCCAAUAAUGAUGAUGAAUUAAAUACUAAAAUGAAACCAACAAUUUUAAAUAAUGAUGUAGAUUCAUUGAAUGUCUUAUUAAAGAAGAGUCAAUUGUGUACAGCUGAUUGUUUUACAAAUAAAGGCAUUGACUCAGGAUUAUAUUUAUAUGUUGAUUUUCAUGGCCAUGCAUCCAAAAAAGGGAUAUUUAUGUAUGGAAAUAAUUUCGACAACAUGGUUGAUAACAUUGAAUGUAUGGUUUAUCCCACACUUAUGACUAUAAACAAUCAAAACUUUCAUUACACUUCUUGUAAUUUCAGCAAACAUAAUAUGUAUUCUAAGGAUAAGAAAUUUGGUCUAAGUAAAGAAGGAAGUGGUCGAGUAGCUGUUCUUAAAUAUACAGGUCUCAUACGCAGUUACACAUUAGAAUGUAACUACAAUACUGGCAGAUUUGUUAACUAUAUUCCUCCUAAAGUACAUUUUGUUUCUGAGAGAAGACCUAUCCAGAGUGUUAUUCCACCAAAAUUUACACCAACCGUUUUCGAGCAGGUUGGAAAAUCAUUGGCAAUUUCUAUUUUGGAUUUAUCAAAUUUAAAUCCAAACAGUCGGUUAGAUAGCAGUGAAUUUAAAUCAUUAGCAGGAUUAAGGGAGCUGUUACGUUCAAAUAUAAUUAACAAUUGUAGCCGUAAUCGGCGAUUAGGAUCAAAAUCUACCAGCAACAUAAAUGUUGAUACACCAAUUACAUCAAAACAAUUUUUAAACUUGAAAAAGAGAACUUAAUGGCUCUUUAGGUUGAAAGAGGUUCUCAACUAUUUCCAACAUUUGUGUAUAAAUAAUGGAAAUUAGCCUAUAAAUAAAGAAAUCUUCAAUAUCUUAUGAUCUGAUGAAUCCGACUACAUCCAAAUUAUUGCAACCCAUUAUGACAAUUGCUGUAGCACCAAAAACUAAAUCAAUCCCACUACGUAAAACUAUGAAAAAAAGUGGGAUAU